rnacentral:rRNA from 1 species
ACGCUCGACACCUACGGGAGCAGCAGUGAGGAAUAUUGGUCAAUGGACGCAAGUCUGAACCAGCCAUGCCGCGUGCAGGAUGACGGCUCUAUGAGUUGUAAACUGCUUUUGUACGAGGGUAAACGCAGAUACGUGUAUCUGUCUGAAAGUAUCGUACGAAUAAGGAUCGGCUAACUCCGUGCCAGCAGCCGCGGUAAUCUGAGGCGGGCUGGCAAGGC